CGCAGGGGCAGUCGGGUAUUACACAAUUGUUGUUCGUAGGUGGAUCUGGUCGGCCAUUUACGAUACCAGGAAAGCAGUCAGAAGAGCCUGCACUAUGAAGAGAACAACAUUUUGUCUUCUAUUUGUUACCCUAUGUAUUGUGAGUUGCCAAUGUCGUCCCCGAACUGCCGCCAGUAAGAUUAUGGUGGAAGAACGAAUCGGUGCAAACACGUGCAGAAAAUAUAGAUGUGGACCUUGCCCUAUUCACUGCCGCGGUUGUAGCGGAUUUAUCCUCUUCAUUAAAAAAGAUAAUUAUUGUUACUAAGGAUUGUUCAUACUGUCACACUAGCACCAAAAUAAACUUCAUUAUUACAACACUUACAA